GUUCAGCUGACACAUCCCGGCCAAUCUCCAGCAGACCCUCCCUCCCAGACCCUCCUACUUCCUGGACAGCAUCCAUGUUGAAGGCAGUUUCAACAUGGAUGCUGUCCAGGAGGUUGGAGGGUCUGGGAGGGAGGGUCUGCUGGAGAUUGGCCGGGAUGUAUCAGCUGA
rnacentral:miRNA from 1 species